rfam:Schistosoma mansoni strain Puerto Rico chromosome 7, complete genome
GCACUGCUGAGGAGUCCCAUAAUAGGACAAAACGCGCGUCAAACUGUAU